GUAGACGUUAGCUCAGUCGUUAGAGCACAGGCCUCUGGCUCUUGCGUCCGCGAGUUCGAGUCCCGUCGUCUACU
rnacentral:tRNA from 1 species